rnacentral:rRNA from 1 species
GGAUUUGAUCCUGGUCCAGGAUGAACGCUGGCGGUGUGGAUAAGGCAUGCAAGUCGAACGCAUCAGUGCGGAGCACUGAUACGCUGAUGGUCGCGGAUGAUACGCUGAUGGUCGCGGAUAUUUAAUUUGUAUCUGCGAAAAUCUGCGUCAUAUCUGCGUUUAUCGGCGUACCAGCGCUCUGCGCUGGUGAGUGGCGAACGAGUUAGUAACACCCUGGUACGUACCCCGAAGACGGAGAUAGUCCGCCGAAAGGCGGAGUAAUAACCGAUAGUAUGGAAACAUUAAAGGCGCAAGCCACUUUGGGAUCGGCCUAGGUCUGAUCAGCUAGUUGGUAGGGUAACGGCCUACCAAGGCUACGACCAGUAGGGGAGGUGAGAGCCUGACCCCCAACGACGGAACUGAGAUACGGUCCGUACUCCUACGGGAGGCAGCAGUCGAGAAUAUUCGUCAAUGGGCGAAAGCCUGAACGAGCGACACCGCGUGCAGGAAGAAGCUUUUCGGAGUGUAAACUGCGGUAAUAUGGUAACAAUGAAAAUGAGUGCCAUAUGGAAAGAGGUGGGUAACUACGUGCCAGCACCAGCGGUAAUACGUAGACCUCAAGCGUUAUCCGGAUUUAUUGGGCGUAAAGAGCAUGUAGGUGGUCCUUCAAGUCUUUUGUAAAAGGCCGCCGCCUAACGGCGGUUUCGCAAGGGAUACUGUUGGACUGGAGGAGAUAAGAGGCUGACGGAACACAUGGUGUAGGGGUGAAAUCCGUUGAUAUCAUGUGGAACACCAAAGGCGAAGGCAGUCAGCUGGGAUCUUCCUGACACUGAGAUGCGAAAGCGUGGGGAGCAAAAAGGAUUGCGUUGGUGUUUGCAGAUUUUUGGAAUCGGUAUCGAUUUUCUCCUGCGGAAAAUCGUGCCUGCCGCUCGGCACAAUGACUCCGACUUCGGUCGGAGACCAAGCUCAUUGUGCCUCCGCGAGCUUCCAAAAAUCUGCAAACACCCCCGCCUCUAAGGGUGGCGGGAAGCAGUAGUCCCCUUCGACUUGUCCUGAGUUUAUCGAAGGACGAGAUCGGAGGAAAACUUGGCUGUAUGCUGGAAAACCCGAGUAUACGGCACUACCAACAUGAGGAGAACACGAUGGAUUCUAAGCAACUGGAAGGCUCCGAGUUUAUCCUCGGAGACAAAGUAAUUUGGCGGAAUCCUCCAGGUUUGGGGCAUUUCGCCAUAAAGUUGCGCAAGCAGCUGCUCGAGGAGCAAAUUGUCGAGCGUAUGCUUCGGCGACAGAGCGAAACUCAACGUGUUGGUGAAAAUGUGCCCGUUGCGGACAACCAGCAGGAAACGGCGGCAAAAAGCAAAUAGCCGACGGAUCCUCAGAGACUAUACGCCGAGCCCGCUCGUUGAAAAAUUUGCAACAAGGGUGAACAGAGAAAUCUUAGUAACCCACCAUUUUUCAAUGGCGGUGAUGAUAUAGUCCGAACUCAUGGGCGACCAUGAGAGCUGACCAGAAAUGCGUCAGCCGCAUCAUUGGAAUUUUUGACAUUUGAAUUUGUUUAGAAAUUAGAAAUUCGGAUUUAGAAAUUUCAAUUUUGUAGCAACAAAAUUGUAGAUACCCUUGUAGUCCACGCCCUAAAAGAUGCCUGUUAGCUGUUUCGAGUAUCGACCCUCGGAGUGGCGUAGCUAACGCGUUAAACAGGCCGCC